GGUGAGUAACACGUCGGAAUUAUUGGGCGUAAAGGGCUCGCAGGCGGUUUCUUAAGUCUGAUGUGAAAGCCCCCGGCUCAACCGGGGAGGGUCAUUGGAAACUGGGGAACUUGAGUGCAGAAGAGGAGAGUGGAAUUCCACGUGUAGCGGUGAAAUGCGUAGAGAUGUGGAGGAACACCAGUGGCGAAGGCGACUCUCUGGUCUGUAACUGACGCUGAGGAGCGAAAGCGUGGGGAGCGAACAGGAUUAGAUACCCUGGUAGUCCACGCCGUAAACGAUGAGUGCUAAGUGUUAGGGGGUUUCCGCCCCUUAGUGCUGCAGCUAACGCAUUAAGCACUCCGCCUGGGGAGUACGGUCGCAAGACUGAAACUCAAAGGAAUUGACGGGGGCCCGCACAAGCGGUGGAGCAUGUGGUUUAAUUCGAAGCAACGCGAAGAACCUUACCAGGUCUUGACAUCCUCUGACAAUCCUAGAGAUAGGACGUCCCCUUCGGGGGCAGAGUGACAGGUGGUGCAUGGUUGUCGUCAGCUCGUGUCGUGAGAUGUUGGGUUAAGUCCCGCAACGAGCGCAACCCUUGAUCUUAGUUGCCAGCAUUCAGUUGGGCACUCUAAGGUGACUGCCGGUGACAAACCGGAGGAAGGUGGGGAUGACGUCAAAUCAUCAUGCCCCUUAUGACCUGGGCUACACACGUGCUACAAUGGACAGAACAAAGGGCAGCGAAACCGCGAGGUUAAGCCAAUCCCACAAAUCUGUUCUCAGUUCGGAUCGCAGUCUGCAACUCGACUGCGUGAAGCUGGAAUCGCUAGUAAUCGCGGAUCAGCAUGCCGCGGUGGAAUACGUUCCCGGGCCUUGUACACACCGCCCGUCACACCACGAGAGUUUGUAACACCCGAAGUCAGUGAGGUAACCUUUUAGGAGCCAGCCGCCGAAGUGGGACAGAUGAUUGGGUGAUCUA
rnacentral:rRNA from 1 species